rnacentral:tRNA from 1 species
GUUCAUCUGGUGUAAAGAGAGGUAGCACACCCGGGCAAAUCGGGAGGUGUGGGUUCGAAUCCCACAAUGAGCA